CCAAGACAGCUUCUGAAGUAAUGAGAGAAGUGUUGAUUCUAGAAUCAAGGAAGCAGAGUUCAACUAGAAGCAAAUGAAAGACAAUGCAAGAUAAUCUUACAAUAUUGAUUCACUGUAAGCCAACAGUGGCUUGAUCCGAGAUUAGGAGGAAUCAUAUGACAUUUGUUUGGUGGGACCCGAAACUGGGUCAAACUAUGGUAGCACUAGUAUGGAUGAAGAAGAUGGUGCUCAUCUAAAAGUGUUUGCAGAGAGG